UACGUAGGAGGCAAGCGUUGUCCGGAAUCACUGGGCGUAAAGCGCGUGUAGGCGGAUCGCUAAGUCUGUGGUGAAAGCGCCUGGCUUAACCGGGCGAGGUCCAUGGAAACUAGCGGUCUGGAGGCCGGUAGAGGGGGGGUGGAAUUCCGGGUGUAGUGGUGAAAUGCGUAGAGAUCCGGAGGAACACCAGUGGCGAAGGCGGCCCCCUGGGCCGCGCCUGACGCUGAGACGCGAAAGCGCGGGGAGCGAACGGG
rnacentral:rRNA from 1 species